GGAUGCGAUCAUACCAACACUAAAGCACCGUAUCCCAUCAGAACUCCGAAGUUAAGCGUGCUUGGGCGAGAGUAGUACUAGGAUGGGUGACCUCCUGGGAAGUUCUCGUGUUGCAUUCC
rnacentral:rRNA from 1 species